UACAGAGGGGGCAAGCGUUAUUCGGAAUUAUUGGGCGUAAAGGGCGCGUAGGCGGCUUGGCAAGUGGAAGGUGAAAUCCCUCGGCUUAACCGAGGAACUGCCCUCCAAACUGCUUCGCUUGAGACCGGGAGAGGUGAGUGGAAUUCCCAGUGUAGCGGUGAAAUGCGUAGAUAUUGGGAGGAACACCAGUGGCGAAGGCGGCUCACUGGACCGGCAUUGACGCUGAUGAGCGAAAGCUAGGGGAGCAAACGGG
rnacentral:rRNA from 1 species